rnacentral:rRNA from 1 species
GUAGGUGGCAAGCGUUGUCCGGAAUUAUUGGGCGUAAAGCGCGCGCAGGGCGGUCCUUUAAGUCUGAUGUGAAAGCCCACGGCCCAACCGUGGAGGGUCAUUGGAAACUGGGGGACUUGAGUACAGAAGAGGAAAGCGGAAUUCCAAGUGUAGCGGUGAAAUGCGUAGAGAUUUGGAGGAACACCAGUGGCGAAGGCGGCUUUCUGGUCUGUAACUGACGCUGAGGCGCGAAAGCGUGGGGAGCAAACAGGAUUAGAUACCCUGGUAGUCCACGCCGUAAACGAUGAGUGCUAAGUGUUAGGGGGUUUCCGCCCCUUAGUGCUGCAGCUAACGCAUUAAGCACUCCGCCUGGGGAGUACGGCCGCAAAGGCUG